GGAUUCUUUGGUUGAGGCAUAACAGAAAUUUUUAGGGGAUUUCAUGUAUAGCGUUUCAAAAUUUGGGUUUAAUGUUCUAAUCUCUAAGUAUUUA
rnacentral:tRNA from 1 species